AUUGAACGCUGGCGGAAUGCUUUACACAUGCAAGUCGAACGGCAGCACGGGAGCUUGCUCCUGGUGGCGAGUGGCGAACGGGUGAGUAAUGCAUCGGAACGUGCCCGUUUGUGGGGGAUAAAUAGUCGAAAGACUAGCUAAUACCGCAUAAGCUAGAGAGAGGAAAGCGGGGGACCGUAAGACCUCGAGCAGAUGGAGCGGCCGAUGUCCGAUUAGCUAGUUGGUGAGGUAAAGGCUCACCAAGGCGACGAUCGGUAGCUGGUCUGAGAGGACGACCAGCCACACUGGGACUGAGACACGGCCCAGACUCCUACGGGAGGCAGCAGUGGGGAAUUUUGGACAAUGGGUGCAACCCUGAUCCAGCCAUUCCGCGUGUGGGAAGAAGGCCUUCGGGUUAUAAACCACUUUCGGACGGGAAGAAAUCGACGUGACGAAUAAUCGUGUCGGAUGACGGUACCGUAAGAAGAAGCACCGGCUAACUACGUGCCAGCCGCCGCGGUAA
rnacentral:rRNA from 1 species